AAAAUGAUGAACUGGGUCGAAGGUUGAAUACCUAACCAAAAGAUUCCCCAACAGAAUACAUAAGUAAUAAUAAUCACACGAAGAAUGUACUGGCAUUGUGAAAAUGAUAUUCACUAUAUUCCUGAUUUGAUGGCACGUGUAACUGUGUGCUCAGAUUGUAUCACGUAUUCAAAUCUUCUGCAGUGUUUUUAGAUUAGAUUACUUUAUAUUGUCAUUACAGAAUGCAAGCAGAGUGAAAUGAAGAGGGUCUAACCAGAGUGCAAACAGUCAGUUAUAUACACAUCUAUCAGCAGUAACAUAAAUGAUACAAGUAGGUAAAUAGAUGUAUAAAUAAGAAUAAAUACACUGAGCGUAAAUACAGUAUAUACAGCAGUGUAUGUGCAGGGAUCACACGACAACACUAGGCAGGUUUGUUACAGUUAAAGUAAAUCACAUGCAUUAAACAAAGAAGAUCUCUGCCAACAACAAAACUGAUUAAUACACUUUUAUGAAGAAAGAAAACACUAAAAAAGAAAGCGGGAAAGAGCAGAGAGUGUGUUUUUGUUUGUACUGAUCAGACGCCAUAAUUGAUGACAGUAACUACUGUUUGAGCCGUCGUCCUCUAAAUAAAUGAAGAAACCCUGCAGAGGAAAUGUUACGGGUUAAAAACUGCAUGUUUACUUCUGAUUGUUUGUGUUUAAGGCGUGGAACCCUGCGACCGAGGAGCAGUGCAUCGACCGCUGCCACCGCCUGGGACAGACCAGGAGAGUGGUCGUCACCAAGUUCCUUGUGAAGGACUCAGUGGAGGAGACCAUGGUGAAGAUCCAGAAGCAGAAGCAGGAGAUGGUGGACAAGGCGUUUGGCUCCACGAACACGGACAGGAAAACGUCUCGCAUUGAUGACAUCAAAGCUCUGAUGGAGCUGUAGAGGACUCAAGUACAUUUCUACUGUUUGUCUUGUUCACAUGUUAAAUGUCGUUACGGUCGGACUGCUCACAUCUGAAGGGCUGAGGAGAUUUUUCUACACAUUUUGUAAAGCUAACAUUUUUCAUUCAUAGUUUAUCAAAUGUUUUUUUCUUUAACGGCUAAAGUUUCUGUCGUGUUUACAUGACCAUGAACCCAUUUGCAAGUUGUUGUUUCGGUUCAGUUGUGAUGCCUACGACGAGUUGUUCUUGGACCAAGCUGUGAUUAUCCGGUUGAUAAGGAUUUAUUCGAAAAAGGAAUUCCCUUUGUUACCAAGUAAAGACUGAGUAAAACCUGUUUUCCCACCUUGAGUUGUUAAGAUGCUAAAUCUAACAGCCAUGCAGAUUUAAAUGUCCUGUCCGUUUCUUUACCAUCUCUGGAUUCCAUGCAGACUGCUGAUAUUGUACAUUUGUAGUUUCUACAUGGAGCUGCUUUCAGAACUUCUGUGUUUUUCUAACCAAAAACAUGCAAUUAAAGAAAAACAUCUGUUAACAACA